ACGAAGGGUGCAAGCGUUAAUCGGAAUUACUGGGCGUAAAGCGUGAGCAGGCGGCAAAAUAAGACAGACGUGAAAUCCCACGGCUCAACCUGGGAACUGCAUUUGAGACUGUUUAGCUUGAGUACGGGAGAGGGAGAUGGAAUUCCGCGUGUAGCAGUGAAAUGCGUAGAUAUGAGGAAGAACACCGAUGGCGAAGGCAGUUCCCUGGGCAUGUACUGACGCUGAUGCACGAAAGCGUGGGGAGCAAACAG
rnacentral:rRNA from 1 species